GCCGACGUAGCUCAGUUGGUAGAGCAGGGGUUUUGUAAACCUCAGGUCGUGGGUUCGACUCCCUCCGUCGGCU
rnacentral:tRNA from 1 species